AGCAGCCGCGGUAAUUCCAGCUCCAAUAGCGUAUAUUAAAGUUGUUGCAGUUAAAAGCUCGUAGUUGAAUUUCGAGACCGGUUUACUGGUCGUGCUUUUGUACGUACUGGUAUUAUUGGUUUCUCCUUUCUGACGAAUCUUAAUGCCGUUAAUUUGGUGUUUUGGGGAAUCAGGACUGUUACUUUGAAAAAUUAGAGUGUUUAAAGCAGGCUCACGCUUGAAUACAUUAGCAUGGAAUAACGGAAUAGGACGUUUGAUUCUAUUUUGUUGGUUUCUAGGAUCGACGUAAUGAUUAAUAGGGAUAGGUUGGGGCAU
rnacentral:misc_RNA from 1 species